AGGGUCUUCGGACCUCGUGCUAUUAGAUGAGUCUGCGUCGGAUUAGCUUGUUGGUGAGGUAAUGGCUCACCAAGGCGACGAUCCGUAGCUGGUCUGAGAGGAUGACCAGCCACACUGGAACUGAGACACGGUCCAGACUCCUACGGGAGGCAGCAGUGGGGAAUAUUGCACAAUGGGCGCAAGCCUGAUGCAGCCAUGCCGCGUGUGUGAAGAAGGCCUUAGGGUUGUAAAGCACUUUCAGCAGUGAGGAAAGGGGUGUCGUUAAUAGCGCCAUCCUGUGACAUUAACUGCAGAAGAAGGACCGGCUAACUCCGUG
rnacentral:rRNA from 1 species